rnacentral:sRNA from 1 species
GACACUUAAAAAAUCAGGAGGCAUGUGGCCGGACGCAGUGGCUCAUGCCUGUAAUCCCAGCACUUUGGGAGGCCGAGGUGGGUGGAUCACGAGGUCAAGAGAUCGAGACCAUCCUGGCCAACAUGGUGAAACCCCGUCUCUACUAAAAAUACAAAAGAUUCGCCGGGCGUGGUGGCAGGGGCCUGUAGUCCCAGCUACUCAGGAGGCUGAGGCAGGAGAAUGGUGUGAACCCAGGAGGCAGAGCUUGCGGUGAGCCGAGAUUGCGCCACUGCACUCCAACCUGGGGACUGAGCGAGACUCCAUCUCAAAAAAAAAAAAACAAACAAAAAAAGGAAAUCAGGAGGCAGCCGGGUGCAGUGGCUCACGCUUGUAACCCCAACACUUUUUGGAGGCUGAGGUGAGAGUAUACUUGAGCCUGGGAGUUUGAGACCAGCCUGGGCAACAUAGGGAGAUCCUGCCUCUACAAAAAUAAUAAAAAAUAUUAGUUGGGCUUGGUGGUGUGCACCUGUGGUCUCAGCUACUCGGGAGGCUGAGGUGGGAGGAUUACCCACCUCAAGCCCGGGGGGUUGAGGCUGUAGUGAGCCAAGAUUGCACCACCGCACUCCAGCUUGGGUGACAGAGUGAGACCCUGUCUCAUAAACAAACAAAAAAAUGGAGAUAUUUUACAUAGGAAUUUAAAUAUUUGACCUCUCCUAGAAAAUCAAGUGCGUGGCAACUCUGGGCCUAUUCCCGUGUGUUCCUCAGCCAUCGCUCGGGCCAGGGCCUGGGUGCGCAGGCUGUCCCCUGCCCCGUAGGCCCCCAGCCUAGUUCAAUAGUCAAGCAUUUUGAAGAGAAUGAAUGAAAUCCAGUUCUUGACGGUCCUAAAGGAAUACUUGACGUCUAUGAAGUUGAGCAGUUUCCAGGUUUACCUGGAUUCUGGGCAAACACAGUCUGAGAAGUAGCUGGGGCUCCAGGCAGGUGCUCAGGGGGCAUCUCUGCAGGGGAACUGCCAGGCUUUCGGGAGGGCUGGCCUCACCCCCAAGGCCUCACUGCCAUGCUUGUCUUGGCAGAAUCACCUCCACUGUGGCCUGCGACAUGGACCUGGCCAAAUACCCCAUGGACGAGCAGGAGUGCAUGCUGGACCUGGAGAGCUACGGUUACUCAUCGGAGGACAUUGUCUACUACUGGUCGGAGAGCCAGGAGCACAUCCACGGGCUGGACAAGCUGCAGCUGGCGCAGUUCACCAUCACCAGCUACCGCUUCACCACGGAGCUGAUGAACUUCAAGUCCGCUGGCCAGUUCCCACGGCUCAGCCUGCACUUCCACCUGCGGAGGAACCGCGGCGUGUACAUCAUCCAGUCCUACAUGCCCUCCGUCCUGCUGGUCGCCAUGUCCUGGGUCUCCUUCUGGAUCAGCCAGGCGGCGGUGCCCGCCAGAGUGUCUCUAGGCAUCACCACGGUGCUGACGAUGACCACGCUCAUGGUCAGUGCCCGCUCCUCCCUGCCGCGGGCGUCAGCCAUCAAGGCACUGGACGUCUACUUCUGGAUCUGCUAUGUCUUCGUGUUUGCCGCCCUGGUGGAGUACGCCUUUGCGCAUUUCAACGCCGACUACAGGAAGAAGCAGAAGGCCAAGGUCAAGGUCUCCAGGCCGAGGGCAGAGAUGGACGUGAGGAACGCCAUUGUCCUCUUCUCCCUCUCCGCUGCCGGCGUCACGCAGGAGCUGGCCAUCUCCCGCCGGCAGCGCCGCGUCCCGGGGAACCUGAUGGGCUCCUACAGGUCGGUGGGGGUGGAGACAGGGGAGACGAAGAAGGAGGGGGCGGCCCGCUCAGGAGGCCAGGGGGGCAUCCGUGCCCGGCUCAGGCCCAUCGACGCAGACACCAUUGACAUUUACGCCCGCGCUGUGUUCCCUGCGGCAUUUGCGGCUGUCAAUGUCAUCUACUGGGCGGCGUACGCCAUGUGAGCACCGGACUCAGGCCACCCUCGCUUGUCCUGGCGCCCGGCGGCGGCUGCCCAGAAACUUCCUGGGAGAAAGAGCCCUCGGGCUGCCUUCCCCUCUGCGUGUUUCGAAGUGGGAUGACAGUCGGCCACGGAAAACAAGAGGAAGCCUCGGCCUCCCUGAGCUCUGACCCCAGCCUCACCCGAAAGGCCAGCCUGGGGCUCUCCGGCAGGCAGCCCGAGACCUGCACAGAUGAA